UACGUAGGGUGCGAGCGUUAAUCGGAAUUACUGGGCGUAAAGCGUGCGCAGGCGGUUUUGUAAGCCAGAUGUGAAAUCCCCGGGCUCAGCCUGGGAAUGGCAUUUGGGACUGCAAGGCUUGAGUGCGGCAGAGGAGACUGGAAUUCCUGGUGUAGCAGUGAAAUGCGUAGAUAUCAGGAGGAAUACCGAUGGCGAAGGCAGGUCUCUGGGCUGACACUGACGCUCAUGCACGAAAGCGUGGGGAGCAAACAGG
rnacentral:rRNA from 1 species